AUUAGGUCUUUCCACUUUUCUGUGGAAAGACCUAUUGUAUUUGUUCUGAUUAUUAUUAGGUCUUUCCACUUUUCUGUGGAAAGACCUAUUGUAUUUGUUCUGAUUAUUAUUAUUAUUAGGUCUUUCCACUUUUCUGUGGAAAGACCUAUUGUAUUUGUUCUGAUUAUUAUUAUUAUUAUUAUUAUUAGGUCUUUCCACUUUUCUGUGGAAAGACCUAUUGUAUUUGUUCUGAUUAUUAUUAUUAUUAUUAUUAUUAGGUCUUUCCACUUUUCGGUGGAAAGACCUAUUGUAUUUGUUCUGAUUAUUAUUAUUAUUAUUAUUUUUUUUUUUUCUUCCGCCAAAUUUUGUUCUUGCGAUAAAUAUUUGUUUCGCAAUAUGUCGCUUAGAUAUUUGUCAUAUUGUAUCGUAUAGUUUAUGCGCUUUUAAAUUUCACCCUGCUAAGCCGAACAAUUAUCUUUGUAAGAGUUAUCUCCCUAUUCACUGUUUAUCAAGUGUGUGCAUCUCCUUCGUAACAAAAAAAGAUAUUGACAAUAUUCUUUUUCUAAAUUGUUCGUUACAUUCUCAGGAAUUUUUGGCUAAUUUGGAUCGAAGCGAUUCGAUGAAAUUUUAUAGGAGUUAUCUACCUUUAUCAAAUAAAUUUGUCGUUAUGUUUUUGUUACUCAUAAACUGUAAGCCGUAUAAACCUAUAGUCUUUUUAUUUGAGGUCCUUGGAUCCUAACUUCGAAAAUGAGGUCAAGGUCAAAGGUCAAGGUCAUGUUCUGAAUUUUGUCUUUUGCUUGUUUUUGCAUUUUCUCCGAUAUUUUUAAUGUUAUAUAUUAAAGAACAAGUGCAAAA